rnacentral:tRNA from 2 species
AGGGGUAUAGCUCAGCUGGUAGAGCAGCGGUCUCCAAAACCGCAGGUCGGGAGUUCGAGUCUCUCUGCCCCUG